UGGACGGACCGGGUUCAUAGGGAACCCUACCGUGAACGUUGUCUCAUACCAGACGGGGUAUGGAGACUUGGUCAUUUGGCGUUCAUACCGGACAGGGUAUGGGGACGGCCCACUUCACCCUCAUACCGGACGGGGUAUUGAGGUUUAUUCAUUUGGCGUUCAUACCGAACGGGGUAUGGAGACGGCCCCCUCUACCCUCAUACCGGAUGGGGUAUUGAGGUUUAUUCAUUUGGCGCUCAUACCGGACUAGGUAUGGGGACGACCCGCUUCACCCUUAUACCUGACGGGAUAUUGAGGUUUAUUGUUUUGGCCCUCAUACUGGACGGGGUAUGGGGACGGACUUGGAAUUAAGUUUGUUAAAGGGAAUGGUUCACGUGUAGCGGGGACCCCUAUGGAUCCCCAUGGAUACUAGUAGGCUGAUAAAAAAAGGCAAUUGUUGUUUGAUAAUUUG
rnacentral:lncRNA from 1 species